rnacentral:tRNA from 1 species
GGAAUGUGGCUCAAGCGGUAGCGCGCUCGCCUGGCAUGCGAGCAGUCCUAGUUCGAUCCUCAGCACCA